rnacentral:RNase_P_RNA from 1 species
GACACAGACCGCCUUAUCGCUGUUUUGCUUCUGAUAGCUAUUGGGACAAAAGAGAGGAAAGUCCGGACACCAUAGAGAAGUAUAGCGGGUAACACCCGUCAGUUCUAAUUUAUUAGGGCUAGGACAAGUGCAACAGAAAGUAUGUACAGGUAAUGCUGUAGUGAAACCAGGUAAACUCUAUACGGUGAAAUAUCAAGUAUAUCAGCAUUUAAGGGCUUCUCGCUCGUUGUUGAAGGGUAGGUAGCUUGAGUCUCAGAGUAAUUUGAGAUCUAGAUAAAUGAUAAGGCUCCAAUUUAUUGGAGACAGAAUCCGGCUUAUAGGUCUGUUUUUUUU